CGGGUUUGACUAUGACCCUUCAUUAGGCUGGUGUGAUCUUGUAUGUCGAGCACGAGCAGUGGACGCCCUUAUUCAUUGUGGAGUUGGUUGCUCACUUUGGUUCAGGAAUGCUGUGUCAUUGUUAGUCGAGGCGCUAGCUCCGUCUAAAUGACUUGUAGAAAACAUUAAUAACAAUAAACUAGAUUUGUGGGUUCAGAACAUUAUACCUUGUGUCAUUUGAAUCAUCGAGAUGAACGUAUGAACUUUCUAUCUCAAUCGGUGUCGAGUUUCUUUGUCGAUGUUGACUCGCUCUAGUAACAUGUAUCGUGGUGGUGGUUCUAGAACUUCGUCGUCAAGGUCGAUGACCGGUGGUGCUAAAAAUCAGUUUCAGCCUCGGUUUAAAAGAAUCGAGAAAAUGUUGGCUGACUGGCAUCUAGUACGAACCAUGGUCCAUUUUCGGGCUUUAGAGUCGACCGACGGUGAUUUGUAGUGAUUGUGGGCGACAGUAAACUGCGGUGGAUGACGAUGUAUGGCGGUAAAUGGUUGAAAUGUCGUUGGUUAGUUUGGGUGCUUCUAUGGGCGGCGGUUAUGGGGUGAAAGCUAAGGUUUUGGGAUUGUAAAGGUGGUGGUCAGGUUAGGGUGAAGAAGAUGAAGUUUUUUAGGGGUUUUGUAUAGGUUCGAUGAUGGGGCCUAUGAACGGUGGUGAUGUUGGCUUGCAAAAGGUGGUGUUCGACGGAAGGGGGUUAAGAAUGGUCGUGGUGGCAUAGAUGGUGAGAGGUGGUGUUUUGAGGGGUUUAUUCGACAAUGGGAGGUGAGAAGAGGGACGAUUUGAGGGAUGGCGAAAAGGUCGUUAACAGUAAAGGGGUCAACGACGAUAAAGGGGUGAACGACGACGACUUUCG
rnacentral:lncRNA from 1 species